rnacentral:rRNA from 1 species
UGGGGAAUAUUGCACAAUGGGCGCAAGCCUCAUGCAGCGACGCCGCGUGGGGGAUGACGGCCUUCGGGUUGUAAACUCCUUUCGCUAGGGACGAAGCUUUUUGUGACGGUACCUAGAUAAGAAGCACCGGCUAACUACGUGCCAGCAGCCGCGGUAAUACGUAGGGUGCGAGCGUUGUCCGGAAUUACUGGGCGUAAAGGGCUCGUAGGUGGUUUGUCGCGUCGUCUGUGAAAUUCCGGGGCUUAACUCCGGGCGUGCAGGCGAUACGGGCAUAACUUGAGUACUGUAGGGGUAACUGGAAUUCCUGGUGUAGCGGUGAAAUGCGCAGAUAUCAGGAGGAACACCGAUGGCGAAGGCAGGUUACUGGGCAGUUACUGACGCUGAGGAGCGAAAGCAUGGGUAGCGAACAGG